UACAGGGGAUGCAAGUGUUAUCCGGAAUUAUUGGGCCUAAAGCGUCCGUAGCUGGCCUGUUAGAUGCCUGGGUAAAUCGAUGCGCUCAACGUAUCGACUCCCGGGUAGACCGGCAGGCUCGAGACCGGGAGAGGCGUGAGCUACUCGAGGGGUAGGGGUAAAAUCCUGUAAUCCUUCGGGGAGGACCAGUGGCGAAGGCGUCACGCUAGAACGGCUCUGACAGUGAGGGACGAAGCCCUGGGGCGCAAACCGG
rnacentral:rRNA from 1 species